AACCUGUCAUGUUGGGUUCAGUGCGAUACAUUCGUACAUUGGAGGAGAGGGAUGCCCUGGUGGAGUCAGAUACAAAAUUCAAAGAGGGUCUGGAGUGUCUAGGUCUCCUGCCUUACAUGAAUAGACACUCAAGCCUCUUCAGAGAGGUUUUCAUCUAUGCUGAGAAGCCUCUUUUGACCAAAGACAGCUUCUCUCUUCAAAGCAGAGCGCUCCCCACCUGGUACCAAUCAAAGAGCAAUAGAGAUCAGAGUCAUAUGUUUCUGGAGGGACUGGCUGCUGGAGGUGGAAGAGGGGAUAAUGAAAAAAAACAAAUUUGUGUCACGACUACUGCCGAG
rnacentral:lncRNA from 1 species